rnacentral:lncRNA from 1 species
UCUGCCUGGCUGCCCAUCGUCUGGGAUGUGAGGAGCGUCUCUGCCCGGCCGCCCAUCGUCUGAGAUGUGGGGAGCGCCUCUACCCCGCUGCCCCAUCUGGGAUGUGAGGAGCGCCUCUGCCCGGCCACGACCCCGUCUGGGAUCUGAGGAGUGUCUCUGCCCGACCGCCACCCCGUCUGGGAGGUGAGGAGCGUCUCUGCCGGGCUGCCCCCUCUGAGAAGUUCAGGAAAUAACUCACCAGAAAAUGAUAUCUGAGCAAAGACCUAAAGAAGAAGCAGCGAGCUAUGGGGAUAUGUGCAGGAAGAGUGUUCCAGACAGAGGGAGCCUCGGUGAAAGACCCUGUGGUGGGAGCAUCCUGGCUUGCUCAUGGGGCAUCAAGGAGGCCAGUCCACCUGCAGCAGAGUCAGGACAGGGCUUUGGCUUUGUACAAGCUUAAUUAAGACAAAGAAACAGUAAAACACCCAGAAUAAAACACUUUAUAAUCUGGAG